rnacentral:rRNA from 1 species
GGAUUAGAUACCCUGGUAGUCCACGCCGUAAACGAUCAUCACUCGCUGUUGGCGAUACACAGUCAGCGGCCAAGCGAAAGCAUUAAGUGAUGCACCUGGGAAGUACGGUCGCAAGAUUGAAACUCAAAGGAAUUGACGGGGACCCGCACAAGCGGUGGAGCAUGUGUUUUAAUUCGAUCAACGCGAAGAACCUUACCAGGG